GACGGGUGAGUAAUGCCUAGGAAAUUGCCCUGAUGUGGGGGAUAACCAUUGGAAACGAUGGCUAAUACCGCAUGAUGCCUACGGGCCAAAGAGGGGGACCUUCGGGCCUCUCGCGUCAGGAUAUGCCUAGGUGGGAUUAGCUAGUUGGUGAGGUAAGGGCUCACCAAGGCGACGAUCCCUAGCUGGUCUGAGAGGAUGAUCAGCCACACUGGAACUGAGACACGGUCCAGACUCCUACGGGAGGCAGCAGUGGGGAAUAUUGCACAAUGGGCGCAAGCCUGAUGCAGCCAUGCCGCGUGUGUGAAGAAGGCCUUCGGGUUGUAAAGCACUUUCAGUCGUGAGGAAGGUGGUGUAGUUAAUAGCUGCAUUAUUUGACGUUAGCGACAGAAGAAGCACCGGCUAACUCCGUGCCAGCAGCCGCGGUAAUACGGAGGGUGCGAGCGUUAAUCGGAAUUACUGGGCGUAAAGCGCAUGCAGGUGGUUUGUUAAGUCAGAUGUGA
rnacentral:rRNA from 1 species